GGGACAUUCGGUAACGUCUCGCCCCCGAGCCGGAGGCGUGUGCCCCAGCCCAGCGGGCCACCCGGGGAGUACCAGGGUCUGUCGGGAGCCAGAAGGGGCAGGAGGAAAACAAGAACAAAGCCUUUAUUGUGGUUGUUGGGAGACGUCGGGCAAGCAGGGUGUGCAGCUGAACAGGCCGAGGUUGCAGCGGCAGCCUCUCGUGGUCCCGUACCCGGCGCUGCGCUGACGUGGGGCAGGGUCCUCGCACUGCGGGACCUUGUGAUAAACAGCAGGCGGGGAGGGCUGAGGGCUCCGGGUUUGCUGGCUGGAAUUCAAGGACACCACGCAGGGAGUCGCUCGCCAUCUGUAGGAACCGGUUGUCACUCAGGGUCGUCCCUCCGGGUCACAGGCUCCAGGACCUCAGAGACUGUAAAGUACAGAGAAGAAACAUGACCAGGACGACCCGCGCGAUGGCUUGCCGCCGGGUCACACGCGCGUUCGCAUGGAGCGUUUUGUGAGUAGCAGCCUGUGCCCGUGGGCUCUCGGGGCUCACUGCUGACGAUGCUGCAUUGGGUCAACAGGAAACCUGACGCUGUUCCUGCACGGACCUCACAAGGUGGCCCCGCAUCUUUCCAUCCCCGGUUCCCAUGUUGCAGGCAGAGGGACAAGCACGCAGCUCUGCGGGGGAGGCAGCCCUGCCCUCGGGGAGCUCUCGGUUCUGCAGAGAAAACUGCCUCCAUAGCACCCGAGGCUGCUGAGAGUUGGAGGCGGGGGACAGGGGGUCCCUCAGCGUCUGAAUCCCAGGAACCGGCUGAGCAGGAGCAGGUCUGCAGCCACACCCCAAAGCACCGUGUUUGACCCCAGAGCUGGCCCUUCACCUCACAAAGCACAACGUGCUUAUUAAAUCUGUCUUAUUUCACCAAA